GGUGUUGCUCACGUGGUGGAGCGCAUGCUCGGUAUGCAUGAGGUCCUGGGUUCAAUCCCCAGUAUCGCCA
rnacentral:tRNA from 1 species